rnacentral:rRNA from 2 species
UGGGGAAUAUUGGGCAAUGGGGGAAACCCUGACCCAGCAACGCCGCGUGAGGGAAGAAGGUUUUCGGAUUGUAAACCUCUGUCCUCAGGGAAGAAAAAAAUGACGGUACCUGAGGAGGAAGCCCCGGCUAACUACGUGCCAGCAGCCGCGGUAAUACGUAGGGGGCAAGCGUUGUCCGGAAUGACUGGGCGUAAAGGGCGUGUAGGCGGCCGAAUAAGUUUGGAGUGAAAGUCCUGCUUUCAAGGUGGGAAUUGCUUUGGAUACUGUUUGGCUUGAGUGCAGAAGAGGUAAGUGGAAUUCCCAGUGUAGCGGUGAAAUGCGUAGAGAUUGGGAGGAACACCAGUGGCGAAGGCGACUUACUGGGCUGUAACUGACGCUGAGGCGCGAAAGCGUGGGGAGCGAACAGG